rnacentral:rRNA from 1 species
AUUGAACGCUGGCGGCAGGCUGAACACAUGCAAGUCGAGCGGUAACAGAGAGAAGCUUGCUUCUCUGCUGACGAGCGGCGGACGGGUGAGUAAUGCCUAGGAAUCUGCCUAGUAGUGGGGGAUAACUUGCCGAAAGGUAAGCUAAUACCGCAUACGUCCUACGGGAGAAAGGAGGGGACCUUCGGGCCUUUCGCUAUUAGAUGAGCCUAGGUCGGAGUGGUUAGUUGGUGAGGUAAUGGCUCACCAAGACCGCGAUCCGUAACUGGUCUGAGGGGAUGAUCAGGCGCACGGGGACUGAGACACGGUCCAGACUCCUACGGGAGGCAGCAGUGGGGAAUAUUGGACAAUGGGGGGAACCCUGAUCCAGCCAUGCCGCGUGUGUGAAGAAGGUCUUAGGAUUGUAAAGCACUUUAAGUUGGGAGGAAGAGCAGUUAACUAAUAUUUGACUGUUUUGACGUCACCGACAGAAUAAGCACCGGCUAACUUCGUGCCAGCCGCCGCGGUAA